AGCGAACGUUUGCGGCGGGCUUAACACAUGCAAGUCGAACGGGCUGUUCCUUCGGGGGCAGUCAGUGGCGCACGGGUGCGUAACACGUAGGUAAUCAACCCUCUGGUUGGGGAUAACACUUCGAAAGGAGUGCUAAUACCCGGUAUGGCGCAGCGGUCUUCGGAUCGCGGCGAGAAAGACCCGCAAGGGUUGCCAGAGGACGAGCCUGCGGCCCAUCAGCUAGUUGGCUAGGUAACGGCUCACCAAGGCGAAGACGGGUAGCUGGUCUGAGAGGAUGAUCAGCCACACUGGGAACUGAGACACGGUCCAGACUCCUACGGGAGGCAGCAGUGGGGAAUAUUGCGCAAUGGGCGAAAGCCUGACGCAGCCACG
rnacentral:rRNA from 1 species